UACAGAGGUCCCAAGCGUUGUUCGGAUUCACUGGGCGUAAAGGGUGCGUAGGCGGUCGGGUAAGUCUGAUGUGAAAUCUCACAGCUUAACUGUGAAACUGCAUUGGAUACUAUUCGGCUUGAGAGUUGGAGGGGGGACUGGAAUUCUUGGUGUAGCAGUGAAAUGCGUAGAUAUCAAGCGGAACACCAGUGGCGAAGGCGAGUCCCUGGACAACUCCUGACACUGAGGCACGAAAGCUAGGGGAGCAAACAGG
rnacentral:rRNA from 1 species